CAGGUGAUCACGCGCCGCAUGUUAUCCUUUAAUGCACAAUGCGAUAACGCAUCGCGUGUUAUUCCUUUAAAGAGCGUGAUCACAUAGUGCUGUUCACCAUCUAGACGAUUUUAGAUGUUGAAGUAAACAGUAACAGCGUUGAAUUUACCCUUGCCCAUAAUCAUCAUCCCCUGUACUCUGUCAGCCUAGCGGACAUGUGAGAGAGGCUCUAAUGAACAAUCAGAUCCAGUACAGCUGUGAUAAUACACACUUAUAAUUCUGAAUAGAAUUUCAGACUACUGUAAGGGGCUUUGAAAUCCACAGGAGGAUGACCAUUAGGGAAAUCUAUAACUCACGUGUUGAGGACUCCUCCCAAACCGUGCAGGCGUUGGACAAUAAUACGACGUCAAAAAGAAUGUCGGACAUUCUCACAGAGUCAAUUUUCCCUGGAUCCAUAGCAGGCCAGGGGACUCGGAUUCCCGGCAUGAUAAAUGAAAAUAAAAUGUUUUAUGAGAAUGGUAUAUUAAAAACGAAACCGUCAAUGACGACAAAACAGCACACUAAUGGACAUCGGAGAUCACUCUCAGGGACGCCACAUGGACGUUCGAUUAAGCGAAAAAUGGACAUGGACUUCCAACAUAAUAGAAAAUGGGGGUCCAAAUUUUACGAAUCGUUCGAAGAUCCGCCCCUGUGGACAUCGAUAAUGACUUACAUCAGUUUUCUAAUCCUCAUACUUGUGGGACAUGUUAGAGAGUUUCUGAAGAAAAUGGGAAUAGGAAGAGUAAAAAACAUAUCCGAACCUUACAUUCCGGGCUUUGUUCCACUGUACCAAACCUGGGAGAGUUUUUAUCACUGGUACAUCUUCAGAAGAGGAAAAGACACUUUGUAUCGGACCAUCUGCAGUGUUCCCGGGGCAGAAAUGGACGUUAUGGACCGCGUGACUGAUGAUCAUUACUGGACAUUCCGGUAUACGGGAACGAGUACGAGAACCAUUAAUUUUGGAUCCUAUAAUUAUCUGGGAUUUUCUCAGAACAGUGGACCUUGCGCAGAAGCGGUGGAGCUGACAGUUAAUGAUCUAGGGAAUUCGAUUUGUGCCAGCAGACAAGAAUUAGGCUACCUUCAGAUCCACAAAGAAUUAGAUGAGCUAGUUGCUGACUACCUGGGUGUGGAGGCUGCCAUUACGGUGCCCAUGGGGUUCGCUACUAACUCCAUGAACAUGCCGGCACUCGUGGGCAAGGGCUGUCUUAUUCUGAGUGAUGAGCUGAAUCACGCCUCUUUGAUCCUGGGAUGUAGACUGUCUGGGGCUCAAAUCAGGACCUUCAAACACAACUGUAUGGAGGACCUAGAAAAAAAAUUACGAGAAGCAAUUAUUGACCAACAACCAAGAACACACAGGAAGUGGGAUAAGAUACUGAUAGUCGUUGAAGGAAUCUAUAGCAUGGAAGGUACCAUAGUAAAAUUGCCUGACGUAGUUAGGUUAAAAAGGAAAUACAAAGCCUUUGUUUACCUGGACGAAGCCCACAGUAUAGGUGCUAUUGGUUCCCACGGAAAGGGUGUGGUGGAUUAUUUUGGGAUGGAUCCCAAAGACAUCGAUAUCAUGAUGGGGACGUUUACCAAGAGUUUUGGUGCUGUUGGUGGUUACAUCGGCGGAUCCAAGCGACUGAUAAAUCAUCUCCGCUUGAAUUCACAUUCCUCCAUCUACUCCAGCACCAUGGCACCUAGCAUCGUACAGCAGGUGAUCUCUUCCAUGAAGAUCAUACUGGGCCGGGAUAACACGAGAGACGGCAUCAAAAGGAUUAACCAACUAAAAUGGAAUACACGAUAUUUCCGGAGGCGACUGCAAGAAAUGGGCUUUAUUGUUUAUGGAAACAAAGAUUCGCCUGUGAUUCCCAUGGUAACGUUCAAUCCGGCCAAAGUUGUGUACUUUUCUCGUUACUGUCUGGAGCAGGGUAUUGGUGUUACUGUGGCGGCUUUUCCUGCCGUGCCCCUUGAGAAAAGUCGAAUACGAUUCUGUCUUUCCGCAUCACAUACUAAGGAAAUGUUAGAUAAGGUACGGGGGAUUCUUCUUCUUUUUAGCUCACCUGGGCCAAAGGCUCAAGUGAGCUUUUCUGAUCAAAAUUUGUCCGUUGUCUGUCGUCGUGGUCGUCAGCGUUUUUUUCACAUUUUCGACUUCUUCUCAAGAACCGCUGGGCCAAUUUCAACCAAAUUUGCCAUAACGCAUCCUUGGGUGAAGGGCUUUCACGUUUGUACAAAUGAAGGGCCAUGUCCCUUUGAAAGGGGAGAUAAUCACAAAAAUGCAAAAAUAGGGUGGGGUCAUUUAAAAAUCUUCUUCUCAAGAACCACUGGGCCAGAAAAGCUGAAAUUUACAUGAAAGCCUCAUGACAUAGUGCAGAUUCAAGUUUGUUCAAAUCAUGGCCCCCGGGGGUUGGAUGGGGCCACAAUAGGUGAUCAAAAUUUUACAUACUAAUAUAUAGGAUACAUCUUUAAAAAUCUUCUUCUCAAGAACCACUGAGCCAGAAGAGCUGAUAUUUACAUGAAAGUUUCCUGACAUAAUGCAGAUUGAAGUUUGUUCAAAUCAUGGCCCCCAGAGGUUGGAUGGGGCCACAAUAGGUGAUCAAAGUUUUACAUACAAAUAUAUAAGGAAAAUCUUUAAAAAUCUUCUUCUCAAGAACCACUGAGCAAGAAAAGCUGAUAUUUACAUGACAGCUUUCUGACAUAUUUCAAAUUUCAGUUCGUUAAAAUCAUGGCCCCCAGGGGUAGGAUGGGAUCAUAAGGGUGGGUCAAAGUUUUGCAUACAAGUAUAUAGGGAAAAUCUUUAAAUAUGAGCCAAGGUGACUCAGGUGAGCGAUGUGGCCCUUGGGCCUCUUGUUAUUUCCUGUAACGGAGAUGGAGGGAAUACACUAAUGCAGAAGUGUGUGGGUGAAUACGUAACACCGACAUAAAAUGUAUCAUGCUCGAUAUCAUGUUUAAAUAUCUGUCAAAGUGCGUGGGGGGGGGGGGGGGGGGUCCGCUUUUGUUAUUCUAAUUCACAUUUUGCAUUUUGAUUACAGUCAAGCGAACAAUCAAUUGAUAUUGAAAUGCAUUAUAAAAAAUUAUUAUUAAUAAGCAAAACUGUAAGUGGUCUCUGGACCAAUAACAUGAACACGUGAAGAUAAAUCCUAUAAAGAAUACUAAAACACAGACGCCUGGACAUACCAGGGGUGGGAUCAGGUGUCUGAGAGGAGUAAGCAUCCCCUGUUGGCUAGUCACACCCGCCGUGAGCCCUAUAUCUUGACCAGGUAAACGAAGUAAUCGGUGGUCAAAAUCAGUGUGUAAAGAACGGUCAAACAAUUGGUAUGAAACGCAUCAGACAGCAUUCAACCCAGUGAUAGCUUGUAUUGGCAAAUUAGAUCUUUAUAGUGACCAUAGAAUUUGCGAAAUGCUGACUUUAAAUAAAAGUGUUAAAUCAACUUAUUGGUCAGUAGUUUGCCUCGAUGUGAUAGUUGAUUAUAGGCAGAACAUGCUUUCGCGUAAUGAAUCAGUUGAGAGACAUAAACAGCAUAUGCAGGUGAUAAUGGAAUAUUGUUACACAAAUAUGGGAAGAUGGUGAUGGAGAAGCUGAAGUCAUCUCGUUUGUCAUAAAAUUGUGUCGUUAGUUUGCCGUUGACAUCUAUGUUCAAUAAAGUAUCCAAAUAUGAAGAAGAUAUGGAAGACUAUAUGGUGUCUUUUAUUUCGAGUUCACUGCGAUAUAUCAAAUUGGUAUAUGAAUGAAAAUGAGUAUUGUUGAUAGAUAAAAAGUAGUUGAUAUAUCUAAAUGUCGAUUUGAAGGCCUUGGCCUUUAUUUUCUCAUGCAGAAGCGUUUGAAUAAAUUCUCCCACAUAAAUAAUACAAAAACAGGUCAGCUAAUAAUGGAGCACAAUUUGUACCCAUAGAUAUUCCGACAGACUGUUGGAAGACCUGAUCACUAAAGACAACAUACCAGUACAUACUGUAACUAUUGUCAAUGAGGAACUCCAGCAUCUUUUUAAUAUCAACUUCAGAGUGUUUGUGCGUAGAAUCAAAGUAAUUUUUUGGAUGACUGAGCACAAGAUAUGAAGAUUUCUGUGUUCCAUUUUUAUUGAAGAAAAAGAUGUCUAUGAUGACAAAAAUGGUUGGUCUUUAAUUUAUCGUACGGAAUGGCCAUGUGAAGUUUUGAAAAGUACAUUUUGAUGCUGUUGAUCUGGGAAAAGUUUUGUGAUUUCAAAGAACAUGACCCACAAUAUGCCAUUUUUGGCCUACCAAAUUUGGAAAAAUUAAAGAACACUUUAGAAUAAAUCUAAGAUUAUAUUUUUUAUCCAUAACAUGAGUCAAGUUGUAUUGCGCAAUCGUUUCCUCACACCGGAUGUUUAAAGCACUCAAGUAAAUGCCCAAACCUACCGCAGUUUCACGUUUUCCGGGAAAAUCGCAUAAAUUUGCCAACUUCAGUCUAUAAAUUCACAUGGGCCGCAUUACUCACGACUCAAUUUUGUAAACUAAAAUUAAAAUGCAAAGUUAGAUUAACACUUUCCAUCAAAAAAAUUAACUCGUAAGCAAUGCGGCCAUGUCGAAAAAAAAAAAAUAAUAAUAACAAAAGUGUCGUCUGGAAACGUCAGAUUCCAAGGAAGUCAAUACAUACAUCUAACGCAGUUGAUACGACUCAAAAAGAAACAGCAAAGAGAUAUGCCAAGGAGUGGUCCUUAAUUCUUUCUCUGUUUCAACUGUCCAUGGAGAGUAAAACCAAAACACAGAUCCAGGAUUUCAAAGAAAUAUAGGACAGUGAUCACCACUCUGAUAGGGAGGGCACCAUCUGAUCAUGAUUUUCUGUGCAAUAUAUGCCAGAGUGUGUGUGUUGCUCCCAUAUUAAACAGAAGAAUAUCAAGUCGGUUAGGCAACAGAUUCAAGACAGUCCAGCACCACCACCAGCAGUAGCAGUUCUUCCAAUUAGUCCCCCUUCUGUAUCACUCCCAUCCCCAUGUACAUCAAGAGGGCACACUUCGUGCUGUAUCUGCGAGUGACCAGGUCCAAAGUUAGUUGUAGUCCCAGUAGGAGUAAGGCAUGAAAUCUUAAUUUCAAAAGAGGCCAUCAUUCGCUUCUGUACAAAUCACCUACAACAAGACAUAGAAGAACUUGAACCUAUUGCUGACAACACCAUGUUCAACAAAACAGGAGUGACAUAAUUAAUCAAACAAGUUUUUGAGAGCUGAAGUUUUGAGAAAAGAGAAAAUAAGGUUGGAUUUUGACAACAGUGAAAGUCUAACAGUGAGCAUCAGAAUCUCCUGGGAACCCCUAAAGCUGCUUUUGAGGACUUGCUGACAUAUGUAAACCUGUAGAAUAUGGAAACUUGUGCUAGAUAAAAGCUUUAUAACCUUUCUACCAGUGAUGUAUUUGUUGACAAUAAAAAGGGUAUUUGA